CACUAUUUCAGUCACUUUUUCAAUGGUUGCCAAACAUUUAGAACAAUUAUAUCUCCCUUUUGGAUUGGGACGUUCAAGCAGGAAUAUAUGUGCUCUUGCCACGUCAUCAACAUGAACCAUAGGUGUUUGCUGAUAACUAAAUGGGUCCUUCUCAUCUGCAUCAGAAUUU